AUUGAACGCUGGCGGAAUGCUUUACACAUGCAAGUCGAACGGCAGCACGGGGGCAACCCUGGUGGCGAGUGGCGAACGGGUGAGUAAUACAUCGGAACGUGCCCAAUCGUGGGGGAUAACGUAGCGAAAGCUACGCUAAUACCGCAUACGAUCUACGGAUGAAAGCGGGGGAUCGCAAGACCUCGCGCGAAUGGAGCGGCCGAUGGCAGAUUAGGUAGUUGGUGGGGUAAAGGCUCACCAAGCCGACGAUCUGUAGCUGGUCUGAGAGGACGACCAGCCACACUGGGACUGAGACACGGUCCAGACUCCUACGGGAGGCAGCAGUGGGGAAUAUUGCGCAAUGGGGGAAACCCUGACGCAGCCACGCCGCGUGAGUGAUGAAGGCCUUCGGGUUGUAAAGCUCUGUCGGGAGGGACGAAGGGGGAAACCCGUGACGGUACCUCGCAAGAAAGCACCGGCGUAACUCUGUGCCAGCAGCCGCGGUAAU
rnacentral:rRNA from 1 species